rnacentral:tRNA from 1 species
GAAUAAGAAGCGAUUUUUUGCACUCAGUUUCGACCUGAUUCUAGGUAUAUAGUACCCUUAUUCU